UACGUAGGGGGCUAGCGUUGCUCGGAAUCACUGGGCGUAAAGCGCACGUAGGCGGAUCUUUAAGUCAGGGGUGAAAUCCUGGAGCUCAACUCCAGAACUGCCUUUGAUACUGGGGAUCUCGAGUCCGGAAGAGGUAAGUGGAACUCCGAGUGUAGAGGUGAAAUUCGUAGAUAUUCGGAAGAACACCAGUGGCGAAGGCGGCUUACUGGUCCGGUACUGACGCUGAGGUGCGAAAGCGUGGGGAGCAAACAGG
rnacentral:rRNA from 1 species